UACGUAGGAUGCAAGCGUUGUCCGGAAUUAUUGGGCGUAAAGAGCGCGCAGGCGGUCUGUCAAGUCAGAUGUGAAAUCUCCCGGCUUAACCGGGAGGGGUCAUUUGAAACUGGCAGACUAGAGUGCAAGAGAGGAUAGCGGAAUUCCCGGUGUAGUGGUGAAAUGCGUAGAUAUCCGGAGGAACACCGGUGGCGAAGGCGGCAUCCUGGACCGAUACUGACGCUGAGGAGCGAAAGCCAGGGGAGCAAACGGG
rnacentral:rRNA from 1 species